GGGGGAAAAUAUAUAUUUGCCUGGAGAACACACCAGUCUGGAAAAAUGAAGCCAGCCAGGUUCAGUGUGGGUGGAGUCUCCCACCAGGGAUCCCACCCUAGCACUAACCAGGGUUGAGGUGCUGGGGAAAAUGAAAAGCAUUGGUGUCUUUCUGACCCACCUAGGUUGUCUUAGUCUUUGCUCUCAGCAUCGGUGCACUUGUAAUAUACUUCAUAGAUUCGUCAAACCCAAUAGAAUCCUGCCAGAAUUUCUACAAAGAUUUCACAUUACAGAUCGACAUGGCUUUCAACGUGUUCUUCCUUCUCUACUUUGGCUUGCGGUUUAUUGCAGCCAACGAUAAAUUGUGGUUCUGGCUGGAAGUGAACUCUGUAGUGGAUUUCUUCACUGUGCCCCCCGUGUUUGUGUCUGUGUACUUAAACAGAAGUUGGCUUGGUUUGAGAUUUUUAAGAGCUCUGAGACUGAUACAGUUUUCAGAAAUUUUGCAGUUUCUGAAUAUUCUUAAAACAAGUAAUUCCAUCAAGCUGGUGAAUCUGCUCUCCAUAUUUAUCAGCACGUGGCUGACUGCAGCCGGGUUCAUCCAUUUGGUGGAGAAUUCAGGGGACCCAUGGGAAAAUUUCCAAAACAACCAGGCUCUCACCUACUGGGAAUGUGUCUAUUUACUCAUGGUCACAAUGUCCACCGUUGGUUAUGGGGAUGUUUAUGCAAAAACCACACUUGGGCGCCUCUUCAUGGUCUUCUUCAUCCUCGGGGGACUGGCCAUGUUUGCCAGCUACGUCCCUGAAAUCAUAGAGUUAAUAGGAAACCGCAAGAAAUACGGGGGCUCCUAUAGUGCGGUUAGUGGAAGAAAGCACAUUGUGGUCUGCGGACACAUCACUCUGGAGAGUGUUUCCAACUUCCUGAAGGACUUUCUGCACAAGGACCGGGACGACGUCAAUGUGGAGAUCGUUUUUCUUCACAACAUCUCCCCCAACCUGGAGCUUGAAGCUCUGUUCAAACGACAUUUUACUCAGGUGGAAUUUUAUCAGGGUUCCGUCCUCAAUCCACAUGAUCUUGCAAGAGUCAAGAUAGAGUCAGCAGAUGCAUGCCUGAUCCUUGCCAACAAGUACUGCGCUGACCCGGAUGCGGAGGAUGCCUCGAACAUCAUGAGAGUAAUCUCCAUAAAGAACUACCAUCCGAAGAUAAGAAUCAUCACUCAAAUGCUGCAGUAUCACAACAAGGCCCAUCUGCUAAACAUCCCGAGCUGGAAUUGGAAAGAAGGUGAUGACGCAAUCUGCCUCGCAGAGUUGAAGUUGGGCUUCAUAGCCCAGAGCUGCCUGGCUCAAGGCCUCUCCACCAUGCUUGCCAACCUCUUCUCCAUGAGGUCAUUCAUAAAGAUUGAGGAAGACACGUGGCAGAAAUACUACUUGGAAGGAGUCUCAAAUGAAAUGUACACAGAAUAUCUCUCCAGUGCCUUCGUGGGUCUGUCCUUCCCUACUGUUUGUGAGCUGUGUUUUGUGAAGCUCAAGCUCCUAAUGAUAGCCAUUGAGUACAAGUCUGCCAACCGAGAGAGCCGAAGCCGAAAGCGUAUAUUAAUUAAUCCUGGAAACCAUCUUAAGAUCCAAGAAGGUACUUUAGGAUUUUUCAUCGCAAGUGAUGCCAAAGAAGUUAAAAGGGCAUUUUUUUACUGCAAGGCCUGUCAUGAUGACAUCACAGAUCCCAAAAGAAUAAAAAAAUGUGGCUGCAAACGGCUUGAAGAUGAGCAGCCAUCAACACUAUCACCAAAAAAAAAGCAACGGAAUGGAGGCAUGCGGAACUCACCCAACACCUCGCCUAAGCUGAUGAGGCAUGACCCCUUGUUAAUUCCUGGCAAUGAUCAGAUUGACAACAUGGACUCCAAUGUGAAGAAGUACGACUCUACUGGGAUGUUUCACUGGUGUGCACCCAAGGAGAUAGAGAAAGUCAUCCUGACUCGAAGUGAAGCUGCCAUGACCGUCCUGAGUGGCCAUGUCGUGGUCUGCAUCUUUGGCGAUGUCAGCUCAGCCCUGAUCGGCCUCCGGAACCUGGUGAUGCCGCUCCGUGCCAGCAACUUUCAUUACCAUGAGCUCAAGCACAUUGUGUUUGUGGGCUCUAUUGAGUACCUCAAGCGGGAAUGGGAGACGCUUCAUAACUUCCCCAAAGUGUCCAUAUUGCCUGGUACGCCAUUAAGUCGGGCUGAUUUAAGGGCUGUCAACAUCAACCUCUGUGACAUGUGCGUUAUCCUGUCAGCCAAUCAGAAUAAUAUUGAUGAUACUUCGCUGCAGGACAAGGAAUGCAUCUUGGCGUCACUCAACAUCAAAUCUAUGCAGUUUGAUGACAGCAUUGGGGUCUUGCAGGCUAAUUCCCAAGGGUUCACACCUCCAGGAAUGGAUAGAUCCUCUCCAGAUAACAGCCCAGUGCACGGGAUGUUACGUCAACCAUCCAUCACAACUGGGGUCAACAUCCCCAUCAUCACUGAACUAGCUAAACCGGGCAAGUUGCCUUUGGUAUCAGUCAAUCAGGAAAAAAACAGUGGGACGCACAUUCUAAUGAUAACUGAACUGGUGAACGAUACUAAUGUUCAGUUUUUGGACCAAGACGAUGAUGAUGACCCUGAUACAGAACUGUACCUCACGCAGCCCUUUGCCUGUGGGACAGCAUUUGCCGUCAGUGUCCUGGACUCACUCAUGAGCGCGACAUACUUCAAUGACAAUAUCCUCACCCUGAUACGGACCCUGGUGACCGGAGGAGCCACGCCGGAGCUGGAGGCUCUGAUUGCUGAGGAGAACGCCCUUAGAGGUGGCUACAGCACCCCGCAGACACUGGCCAAUAGGGACCGCUGCCGCGUGGCCCAGUUAGCUCUGCUCGAUGGGCCAUUUGCGGACUUAGGGGAUGGUGGUUGUUAUGGUGAUCUGUUCUGCAAAGCUCUGAAAACAUAUAAUAUGCUUUGUUUUGGAAUUUACCGGCUGAGAGAUGCUCACCUCAGCACCCCCAGUCAGUGCACAAAGAGGUAUGUCAUCACCAACCCGCCCUAUGAGUUUGAGCUCGUGCCGACGGACCUGAUCUUCUGCUUAAUGCAGUUUGACCACAAUGCCGGCCAGUCCCGGGCCAGCCUGUCCCAUUCCUCCCACUCGUCGCAGUCCUCCAGCAAGAAGAGCUCCUCUGUUCACUCCAUCCCAUCCACAGCAAACCGACAGAACCGGCCCAAGUCCAGGGAGUCCCGGGACAAACAGAAUGCAACAAGGAUGAAUAGAAUGGGCCAAGAAAAGAAAUGGUUUACAGAUGAACCGGAUAAUGCCUAUCCCAGAAACAUUCAAAUCAAGCCCAUGAGUACCCACAUGGCUAACCAGAUCAACCAAUAUAAAUCCACAAGCAGCUUGAUUCCACCAAUCAGAGAAGUUGAAGAUGAAUGUUGACUCCCAGGAGACCAGAACUAUUUUUUUAAAGCCUGACAAACUUCAUAAAUGGUGAUGUGACUUUUCUUCUUACAUGCUGAAUCACUGGUGGAAACGUUAGGAUAAGCAAGAAUUGCCAGAAAAUAAAGUAGACAGAUCUUUCUCUUUGUCUGCCUUGAAUAUUGCUUCCAUGUAUUUUGGAAAAGAAAAUGAUUUCAUUUAUAAAUGAACAUACUAAAAUAGUCAUGUAUAGCCUCUAGCAUUUUAAAUUAUUUUUAUUUAUUAGAAAGAAAAUAUAUUUUUUCUUUUCAUUGUCAAAUAUCUUCCCUAUAUCUAAACAAUGCAAAAUCUAAAUGAAUAAGUGGUCAGACUCCUUAAUGUGUUUUUCUCUUCUUUCUCUCUUUUUCUUUGAGGAGAAUGAUGGUCACCACCACAAUUAAUUGUAAUUAAGGGAAAUGAAUUAUUAAAACAAUUUUAAAAUGGCCAACGAUGUAUACAUGUAUUUUAGUA
rnacentral:sRNA from 1 species